GGUCCCAUAGCUCAGUUGGUUAGAGCGUCGUACUAAUAUCACCAACUUCAUCAUUGGUUAUAUAUAGUCAAUGCGAAGGCCGGCGGUUCGAGCCCGCCUGGGACCA